ACGCUUUAGUGUAUCAACUAUGGCGUUUCGAUUCGGAGCCUUCGUGCUCCUAACGCUGGGAGUGUUUGCACAAGGACAGGACAAACGAUACUGUGAGGUAGUUGAUCCUGCUAAGACCUUCCACGCAUACAGCGCAGUGAGUCUUCACACAGGUGAACUGGUAACAUUUGACCAGUAUGAAGGCUGGACUCUACUGGUAGUCCCUUCCUCAACUUACUGAGGUUUAACCCACCAGUACCUUGAAUUGAAUGAACUAGUAACUGAGUUUGCAGCUUACAAUUUUACUAUUCUUGCUUUUCCUGUGAACCAAUUUUUGUUGCAAGAACCAGCAAAUAAUGAUGAAAUCCUAAAUGGUUUAAGGGAAGUAAGACCAGGUGGAGGAUAUGUGCCCAACUUCCAAAUUUUUGAAAAGUCGGACGCGAAUGGCUUGGACCAAUCAGAUAUUUGGAUAUAUCUGAAGGACAAUUGCAAAUCACCAGUAGAACCGAUUGGGUACAGUGAUGAGAUGUUCUGGGAUCCGUUCCAUAAUGAUGACAUUCGAUGGACUUUUAGAGAAAGAAUAAUUAUCGAACCCGACGGUCUUCCAUAUAUACGUUACAAUGACCCUACGGACCCCUACACUCCAGGCGGUUUGCGUGAUGACAUCGAGCAAUAUCUAAGGGAUGGGUACAUUGAUUUGUAAAACAAAACAAUUUAUGAAAUGUUAGAAUUAUGUCAGACAAUUAAAAAAAACCAGUGUUUUUAUGUUAUCUUUUUUGCUAGCAUGGCAGCAAUUUCUAUGACGAGUAAAUAGUAAACCUUCAUGGUGUAUUUAACUCUGACAUCAUCACAACGUUGGGAAAUGUUUCAUUCAAUUCCAUUUACUAACAGAGUGAUGUAAUUGUGGUCGUGUGUUCAUCGCAAUAAAUUGCCAUCUUGAAAACAACAA